rnacentral:lncRNA from 1 species
AAUAGGAGAGGCGAGAGUGGUAGAAUAGCAUUUGACUUGGUUUCAGAGAGAGAGAGAGAGAGAAAGAGAGAAGAAGAAAGAAGAAAGAGAAAAAGGUAAAGAAUGAAGAAAAUUCAAUCGAAUCGAAUACAAUUUUGACGUCCGCAAGGACACACUCUCGCUUCUCUCUCUACAAUCCCUUUCUCUCUCUACAACUCUCUAUUCUCUCUCUAAGCUAACCACCGAGGGACAGGACUUGUGCUCAGAGAGAACACACAGACUGUGAGCAAACCCUAAAAAAGGGAACAAAAGCUGAAGUGAAUUCAAUUAGAAUUGAAGCCGAAGGAAAAUAAAACACAACUCAGUGAAUAAUCUAAUACUGGGUUUUAUGUAUUAGAAUCAUUGUGGGUUUUUGGGAAGUCUCUCUCUUUCUCUCUCACUGUUCAAAGCUCUACUGCUGGU